rnacentral:rRNA from 1 species
UGGGGAAUAUUGCACAAUGGGCGCAAGCCUGAUGCAGCCAUGCCGCGUGUAUGAAGAAGGCCUUCGGGUUGUAAAGUACUUUCAGCGGGGAGGAAGGCGAUGCGGUUAAUAACCGCGUCGAUUGACGUUACCCGCAGAAGAAGCACCGGCUAACUCCGUGCCAGCAGCCGCGGUAAUACGGAGGGGGCAAGCGUUAAUCGGAAUUACUGGGCGUAAAGCGCACGCAGGCGGUCUGUCAAGUCGGAUGUGAAAUCCCCGGGCUCAACCUGGGAACUGCAUCCGAAACUGGCAGGCUUGAGUCUCGUAGAGGGGGGUAGAAUUCCAGGUGUAGCGGUGAAAUGCGUAGAGAUCUGGAGGAAUACCGGUGGCGAAGGCGGCCCCCUGGACGAAGACUGACGCUCAGGUGCGAAAGCGUGGGGAGCAAACA